rnacentral:rRNA from 1 species
AUUGAACGCUGGCGGCAGGCCUAACACAUGCAAGUCGAACGAGUGGCGGACGUGUGCGUAAUGUCUGGGAAACUGCCUGAUGGAUGGGGAUACCUACUGGCACCGGUCGCUAAUACCGCAUACCAUCAUCUCUUCCCCGAUGGGAUUAGCUUGUUGGUGGGGUAACGGCUCACCAAGGCGACGAUCCCUAGCUGGUCUGAGAGGAUGACCAGCAACACUGGAACUGAGACACGGUCCAGACUCCUACGGGAGGCAGAAGUGGGGAAUAUUGCACAAUGGGCGCAAGGCUGAUGCAGCCAUGCCGCGUGUAUGAAGAAGGCCUUCGGGUUGUAAAGUACUUUCAGCGGGGAGGCGUUACCCAAAGAAGAAGCACAGGCUAACUCCGUGCCAGCCGCCGCGGUAAUAG